rnacentral:rRNA from 1 species
UACAGAGGUCUCAAGCGUUGUUCGGAUUCAUUGGGCGUAAAGGGUGCGUAGGCGGCGCAGUAAGUCGGGUGUGAAAUCUCGGGGCUUAACUCCGAAACUGCAUUCGAUACUACCGUGCUUGAGGACUGGAGAGGAGACUGGAAUUUACGGUGUAGCGGUGAAAUGCGUAGAUAUCGUAAGGAAGACCAGUGGCGAAGGCGGGUCUCUGGACAGUUCCUGACGCUGAGGCACGAAGGCCAGGGGAGCAAACGGG